rnacentral:misc_RNA from 1 species
GUACUCGCUGAUUUAUGUGCAACUUAUAUCCUGCAAAGUAUGUGUAUUGAUAUUUAAAGUAUGGUUUUCUUCAUUGUCCAGUGGUUUACUUUCAUUGUUUCCUUUGCUUUAGUGGCCAUUGUUAGUGACUUUUCCUUAUGGGACAGACAUGAACCUAUGUACUAGAACAAGUAAUAUCAAUAUAUGGUUUGCACCUUUCAGUUUUCAUAUGCAUUGCACAUUAGCAAUAUUUUGAACUUGUUUAGCAAAAAAUCUUAUGCGAAUUUGAUUAAUGUAAACAGUAUUUUUUUAAAGAAAAUUUAGAUUUUAAUCAUGUUAAUAACUUAUAGAUUAGAAGCGGUUUUUCAAUUCUGUUAGGAAAUUUG